rnacentral:rRNA from 1 species
CCUACGGGCGGCAGCAGUGGGGAAUAUUGGGCAAUGGGCGCAAGCCUGACCCAGCCAAGUAGCGUGAGGGAAGACGGCCCUACGGGUUGUAAACCUCUUUUGCCGGGGAGUAACGGGCGCCACGUGUGGCGCCACUGAGAGUACCCGGAGAAAAAGCAUCGGCUAAUCCCGUGCCAGCAGCCGCGGUAAUACGGAGGAUGCGAGCGUUAUCCGGAUUUUUUGGGUUUAAGGGGUGCGUAGGCGGGGCGUUAAGUCAGUGGUCAAAUUGAGGGGCUCAACCCCUUCCCGCCAUUGAAACUGGCGCUCUUGAGUGGAAGAGAGGUAUGCGGAAUGCGUGGUGUAGCGGUGAAAUGCAUAGAUAUCACGCAGAACCCCGAUUGCGAAGGCAGCAUGCCGGCUUCCUACUGACGCUGAAGCACGAAAGCGUGGGGAUCGAACAGGAUUAGAUACCCCAGUAGUC